rnacentral:lncRNA from 1 species
GUAAUGGUACGAGCCUUGUGGGUUCGGCCUGGGUCCACUCGCGGUCAGGUUCCAUCUGGUACGAACCAAAACCUUUUAGUAGGUGGUAAUUAUAAGGUUCUCCCUCUACUUGUAACAAAUAGCGGGUCCAACUCAUGUUUUUUUCUUUUUAAAGAAACUCAGAUUUUAUAUAUAAAAAUUAAAAAUCAAACAAAUUCUGGUGACAAUGAAUUACCUAAUGCUUCGGGCCUGCAUGACGGACCAAGCAAUUUGGGUGGUUGGGCCGCCAGGGGGAGGCCCAGAGACCCCGAUCCUCGAGUUCUUAUAGUGGAGGACAGCUGUGGUCGUGAGCACACGACGAGUGAACCGUGAAGACACGACAACAUAGUAAUCUCUCGCGGGCUUGUUGGCGGUGACCAAUACCGAAGCUGACUGUCCGAGAUGUAGGUCUAGCGACUCGUAGGUGUUCUGGAGUGUGUGUGAUCCUUCAACCUCUACAAGUUUCAUGAACAGUGUGAUCUCCAGCAGGGAAAGGAAAUGGGACCGGAAUCCGAGGGCGGCUGUAGAUUUUGAUGCCGCCAUAGCCACCGGCGGCCUUUUGAAGACCAAGUGAUGGGAAGUAGAAGAAGCUACCGAUUUGAUCCUUGGCUUGAAGCAUGUAUGUGAAAUUCUUGCCUGGUGGGAUCGGACAAGUUGUACCAUAAGUACCAUCUUGCCAUGAGUUUCUUCUGUGUUGUAACCCGUUCCUGAAAAUAAUAAGUUUCAGGCCAGGUCAGGUUACCUUUUUUAAACCAGAUAACUCAUACACCCUCUAAAGUCUAAAUCUGUCUUUAAAUCUAUACAAAUGUACAUCAACACUUAAGAAUAAACAUCUUAAUACAUACUUUGAUCCUGCUGGACUACAAGCCCUUCGGUGGUCCGGAAUAUGUAUUGGUGGAUUCUACAUUCUUGAUAAGAAAAUUAAGUUUUGGUU